rnacentral:rRNA from 1 species
GACGAAGGGGGCUAGCGUUGUUCGGAAUUACUGGGCGUAAAGCGCGUGUAGGCGGUUGUCCAAGUCAGGUGUGAAAGCCUUGAGCUCAACUCAAGAAAUGCACUUGAUACUGCAUCACUAGAGGACGGUAGAGGCGUGUGGAAUUCCGGGUGUAGUGGUGAAAUGCGUAGAGAUCCGGAGGAACACCAGUGGCGAAGGCGACACGCUGGGCCGUACCUGACACUGAUGCGCGACAGCAUGGGGAGCAAACAGG